ensembl:lncRNA
CCACCAACCUGCAGCGGGUGUGUAACACAGCACACCGGCUAAGCCCUGGUAGCCCGGAACUCUUCUCUUGGAAAAAGUGCACUCGGCCAAAGUGGUCUCAAACCCCUGACAGCGCACUUGCAAGCAUUCUGUGGAGUUUAUCUGGAGAUCUUCAGAAUAAUGAAACCUUCCCCGAGUAUCAAGAGCACCUCUGGAAGCAGCAAAACGAAACGUGAUGGUAAAAAAUUACUACUUGCAUUUUACUGUCAUACUGUAGGAGGUAAGCGCCUAGAGUAAUUUCCUCUCAUCUUCUAUAAAUCUAUACGUGUUCUACAAAUCAGGUUACAGUCUCUUUGCCUUGGUAUUUUCAACUGCAAAAGGGAAUAUAUCUACUUCACUAGGUUUUAUAAGAUUAACUAAAAUAAUCACUUUAGACUGACUAGCCUGGAGGAGGACAAGGGGGACGAUCUUUUAAAAAUUGAUUACUCUAACAGAAAUUAGAGAAGGGACAAGAGCACAGAAUAAGUAGGGUUAUAAUAAGCCCAAAAUAAGAUAAGGAAAAGAAAGUCAACAAUGUAAAGUAAUCACAAUAAGGUAAAGUGGGCUAAACUUUUCAGUUAAUGAUUGACAUAUUGGAUUUUUUUUUUAAAAUGCUCUCUGUAUAAAGAACACACUUAACAGGAAGAUACAAAACGAUGAAAGUAAAGAAAUGGGAAAAGAUUGUGAACAAAAGAGUUAACAACAUCGCUGAUUCUAAUAGUUAAUGUUCUAGAACUAUGUACAUGAAGUACUUAAAAAGCACUCAGCGCAAAGCAAAUACCCACAUAAUUUAAAAACUUGUCAUCGUACAGGGACAUUCUCUGACAUCAAUGCAGUGAGAGAGGAAAUCGAUAAUUAAAAAGUUAACUAUCAGCAAGCUAAUGUGUUCAUUUGGAAAGUACAAAACACCUUCUAAAUUGCAAAUGGAUCAAAAAAGUUUGCAUUGACAAUCAGAAGAUAUUUUGAACCGAAUAAUAAAUAAAAUAUCACUUAGGGAGUUUAUGGCAUGCAGAUAAAGCAUUACUUACAGAGAAAUAGGUACCUUAAAUGUUUAUGUUAGGGAAGUAAGAAAAAUUGAAAAGGAUUGAGUUAAGCAUUUGAUUCCAGGAAUUAGAAAAAAAUAAAACAGGGAAGAAAGUGGGAGGGUUGAAGAUAACAGCAAUGAUUAAGGAAGUAGAAAAUAAAGAAAUAAGGGACCUCUGCCAAACACAAAAUACAAAAGACUAAUCAGAUAGACUCGCAGUAAAGGCCAAACGAGGAAAGGUGUAAGUAAUAUUAGCUGUGGAAAAGUGGAUGUAAUUAUAGCUGGGUAGAGAGAGACAGGAACAAAUGUACUCAAAGUCACCCAAGGAUUCAGCCCAAAUACUUGAGCCAACUCUCAGGGGAACGCAGUUAAUCCUCAUAACAAUGCUAAGAGGCUGGGAGUGGAUAUUCUCAGGUUACACCACAGGAAACUGCAGGACAGAAAGCCCAGGUAACCAGAAAGCCAGCAGCUGGAACAAUGAAAUCCAGCCUGAGAAAAUCCCCCUGUCCUUCCUAGCACUCACUGUUGAAAUCCGAGGUCAAAGCAGGCCACGUUGGCUUCCGCCAUGCCCCAGUUGCUUUUACAGAUGAACAUUUUCUUAUCUUGGUCCACAAGUUUUACUGUGACAAUUCCCUUUGAAUCUGUACUUUCAUCACUUAAGGAAACACUAAAUUCUCCUAAAGUAGAAAGGAAUGAACAAUAUUUAGGCAUUCAUUGUUUUAUCUGCUGAAUUUAAGAGCCUUUAAAACAGUAAAAUAUCUCAUUUCAAAAUGACUUUGACGGCCAUGAAGAUUUUAACAAACCAUAACAGGCAUUUCUUUCAACAGUGCUUAUGUGGCAACGGCCAUGCUACCCGUCAUGUGGAAGGCCACUCAAUCCUCACACCCACCUUGUAAAGAUGAAGCCCGCCUUGUCUCCAUUUUUUCACAGGAGGAACCUAAAUCUAGGAGACGUUAAAUUCCCGGCCCAAGUGGUGAAGCCAGGAAUUGGAAGCUGCUCUGUUAUCUCACUGCAGAGUCUUAGAAGUAAGUCACUUCCGGAAAGGCCCGAAGGGUUUGUGUGUUCUCCCACAUUCAGUGCCUGAGGAGAGGGCUGGCACUGACAGACACAGGGCCUAACUCUUGCUCUUCCCCUGUCAUAGCCAGCCGAGGUGGGCUAAGUGGAAAGCUUUAGUUCUCUUUUUACCUCUCCAUCCUAACUCAGCAUCAGAAAACUACACAGGCUACGACUGUGAGCUGGUGGCUCGCAGCACCUUUAAAAAGAGCACGUUAAGCAUUUGCUUCUCUGACAACUUGAUAGCGGAAGGCAGUGGUGAGCCUGAGUUUUGCUCUUAUGGCUAAAAUUUAAUAAACAUUUUCUUUGUGUCAAGGACUAGGCAAAGAACUUUAUCUGCAUCAUUUUAUUAACUUCCACAAGAAUUUUAUGACUUGGGAACUUUGAGCAUUCACAUUUGACAGAUGGAAGAACUGGGGCCCAGCGAUUCCCACAGCUGGUCAGUAACAGAGGUGGGCAUGGAGGAGAUGGAAACUGAGAACCUAAUCCUGUGCCUCGAGUCGUAGCCCCUCGUUCCAUAGGCACCUAUAGGGUACAGGCAAAUUUGCCUGAUGUGCCAAGCUGGCUAGGGGAGCAUGCCUAGCUCCGGCGUCUCUCAGCCCCUCAGAUACCCAGGGGCAGCCGGUGCAGGGAUGGGGCCGAGGGAAGAUGCUGGAAGAAACACUGGGGGCUGGGACCCAAAGGCUGAGCGGACCCAGCCCUCCUGUGUGACUAGCCUGCCAAGGCCUUCUCACUGACUCUGAACCAGCUGGGCGGUCCCGGGGAGGGGCCCUUUGACAACGCCAAAGGGCAGCAGUGAGACCUCAGAGCCAGGUGCUCUGGGCUCAUGGCUGGAUUCAGGUGACUCCCGAUUUCUUUAGUUACCACUUCAGUUACUGUUGAGGUGUCAAGCAUUUUGAGUCAUCAUCCGAACAUUCCACAGCCAAGGUCUUUCCUAAGAGAAAGGCUGGUAUACAGUGGCCCUCUUAGGUCACAACAUAACAUGAUAAAUAGGCUGUUCUACCUUCAGCUGUGCACGUUCCUGUUAUUUAAAAACUUGGCCUCUGGACGAAGGCAUUCAAAGCUCUUCAGAUGGCAGUACGUUGGAAAGCUUCUCCCGUUGGUUGAACACACGGAGGUGCCGUUCUUGGGGCACUGAUAGGGGAGUUUGCAAAUACAGGUCCCGUCCCACGCACUUCUCCCACGGCUGGCAGAAGACUUUGCUGCAGGAGCGAUGUGUGUAUUUGUUCAAUAAGCACUUGGCAUCCACCAGGUCCUCCUGAGGGGCGGCUGGCGCUGAAGGGAGCUAUAAAACACAAAAGAGCCAUCGGCUUAGCAGCAAACCCAAAGCUGCUUUUUCAAACACAGAUGAGGAUGAUGGGGUCCGGUGGUUUUAGGAACCAGACAAACCUGGCUUCUUGCCCCAGUUUGGGUCAUAUAACUUUGGGAAAGUUACCUCAUGAACAUGGUUUCCUCAUCUGCAAUUCUGCGAGGUAAUUAUAAAGAUUAGAAAUCAUAUGCGUCAUGCGAUGGUUGGCAGGUGCUACGUAGGCAAUUAAUGGAAGCUGUUAUUACCCUAAGGCCAACAUAAAAUUAUGCCUCCAAAGAAGUCAGUGAAUCUCAGCAGUCAUGUUAAGGAGCAACACAUUUGGUGCUGAACAUGUCUUAUGGAAUGCAUUUGUUUUUCUGUUAUUAAACACAAAGCCAUUUUUUGAGCUCCUACUAUACGUAAAGUCUUUCUAGGAUGGACAUGAACUGGUCUCCACCUCCAAGGACUUUCUUUCUAGGCAGUAAGGCAGGACCCACAUACUAGUAGGACACUGGCAGAUGGUGGUGAGUGAUGUAACUGGGGUACAAAAGCAGCACAGUAGACUUAGGGAAACAGGGUAGGAGAGUGCGUGUGCUAGUCCCGCGGAACGAGGCCAGGAAGGACAGGUCUGGCUGUCAGGAUCCCGUGUUUGCCACAGACAGGGGAGGGCUGAUGCGGAACAUUUCGGGAGUGGGUACAGUGAUGGGACUCAGCAGUCUAAUCCAUGUGUGGGCUGAAGGGGACCCUAGGUUUUUCACGCUGAGUGAACGAGUGAUGUUUCUUUCACCGACCACAAGUAUUAAAGGACUGCUUGAUCUACUGCAUAUAAAGCCUUAUCCUCAAAGCAUUAACAAUGAGUAAAAUAACUCGAUUGCAUUUGAAGAGAGCUGACCAUUUGAGACCAUUUGCACUUAAUGCUUGUCAGGGUCCCAGACACUCACUAGAUAUAGAACACGAUGUUUAUAGUGUCAGCCUGCAACUUCAUUUAUAAAAAGGCUGAAGUCAUUUACAUGGAAUCUUGUUCUAUAUACUACAUGCCAAUCUGUAUGUAAGUUGUAUAGUUAGGCACUUUAUAAGUUUUUCAUGAAAUAUAUUCCACAUAAUACAGAAAUAUUGUUCAUACUGAUGAGAAUGAAAUUUGCAUUGAGCAGAGCUUUAGGUUUGCAAUUUAAAAAUUUUUUUUUGAGCAGAGCUUUAAAAUGAGUGUAAGUAGCAGUAAACAUUUUCUUUCUGCAACCUGUACUUAUACGUUCUUCCUGUAAACUACAUAAAAAUAUUGUAGUGAAUUUUGGUGGUGAUUUUAAAGGUUUUGAUUAGGUCAAUAAUUGCUUAAGCACUGUUUAAUUCAUGUUGAAAUAUCUUUACUUUUAGUUCUGAAUAUCUAAAAACUCAUUUAAUUAAUAUGCUAUUCUUGAUUUAGUGGUAUUCUCUAUUCAUAUUUUUGGUAUUUAACCUAGUUAGUUUAGGCUCAGUCAUAAUAGUGGAUAGAGUCUCUGUUAUUUCAAGAGAUGUUAAAUAUUUAUACGCUGUGUUGACUAGCUCAAAUGUGAAUUCUGUUAGUGUUGCUAAAGAAGAAUCUGGUAGUUUUUUUUUAAAGAAUGUCUGAAAUAUAGUCUUACAACUAAUAUCAUAGUGGUGAGCCUUUCCCUAUGUGUUUAUUGUCCUUGUUCUUUACUAGGUAUCUUUUUUCAGCUAAUAUGUCCUUAUAAUUAAAUAAAAAAUUUUGAAAAGUAAUGAAGUAUGGUUAAUGACAUUAUCCAACGAAAAACUCAGUGGUCCAAUUAUUAAAACAUUUGUGUUAAAAUUUUGGCUUAAAAAUGCAAAUUUAAGUGUGUUUACUUAUAUAGCAGCCCAUUUAUUUACAUAUGAAUAUAUUCAAGGAUACUGGGAGCAUUGCUCAAAAUGUUUUGGCAAUUAGUACUGUAGCCAAUUUGUCUACUAAGCACGACCCCACUCCUUUAGGUGCUGCUGCUGUGUUGUGCAUGAGGACUUAAGAAAAAAAACCUUUCCUUGAUAGCUGUAAUGAUGUAGCAAUUACACUUCUGUGUGUUUCUCUAGGCAGGAGUACAAGGAAAGCAGUUUAGACAGUUCCUAGAAAACGAAGAAGAAAUCAAACAAUCUCCUAUUCUAUGCCGUAUCAACCCUCACGUACAGAUAAAUAGCUUUACCUCAUGCUUCUUUGUCACCUGGUUUUUCCAAUGUUUUCCAUAUUUGCCCUAUAAACGAGAGGGGAGAAAAGAUGAUCAAGUAUGACCAAAACAAGAAAAGCUCCCCCACUUUCCCCUCUCUAUGGACAUUGUUGGGGAGCCCCACUCUGCUGCGAGCUCUGUGUAAUCUUGGUAAGGGGCUGUCUUCCUCCCUCCCCCCUCCCUCCCUUCCUUUGUUUCUUCCUUUCUGUUUUCUCAUCUUGUUUUUAAAAUUUACUUUAUGAGUCCACGUUUGCAGUACAUACUGACCACAUUCAUAGAGAGGUGUUGGUACUUGUACAUAAUACUUAAUUCUGACCCAUCCUGCUUUUGUAAAACGUGGAAAAUAAAAAUAAUGUUCUCACAUAGUUACUUUGAGGAUCAAGUGAAACAUGCAGGAGAAAGCAAAGAGACAUUUAAGAACUUAUAUUGGCUGAGGAUGUAGCUCAGGGCUAGAGUGCUUGUAAUAGCAUUCAAAAGGCCUUUGGUUGAAUUGCUGGCACUACCAAAAGAAAUUCCAUCUAGAUCCUGUAUAUAUAUAGAUGCUGCACGAACGCUAAUAUGGUGAUGAUUCUGGCAGGCAGCACAAAGCCCCACGUCUUCUACCCUCCCCUCAGUCCAGCCGCUCUCUGUGCCUCUCCCUGGGGACCAGGCUAUGUCCUUAUCCUUUGCCUCUGGACGGAAGGGAUCAGAUGUGACACAGAGAUGCUUGGACGCUGCUCCUUCGACCAGGACUGUCUCCGGUAUCUGUGCACAGCUGUGAGAACGUGGUUGGGUCAGCAAAAAGCAGAAGGGAAGAACCACCCUUCCCAGCUGGGCCUCCUCCGUCAGCUGGUCCUGGCCGACCUGCAGGCUGCAGUCUUGCCCUCCGAGAGCUGGUGGUGGUUCUGUGAUGGCAUUAACCAGCUGGGGCAACGUGGCUUCCCAGAAGAAAAAGUGGAAAACUCAGAAAGAGUCAACAGGAUAGAACUAUCCGUCCACACGGAGGAAGCGACUUGGAUCCCAAGAGUUAUCAACCAGUCAGAACCUGUUUCAGGGAAGAGUUUGAGGCCUGGCUCCCUCAGCCCCUCCGCAUCACGGUGUUCACUAGUAAUUUUGUCUCCUUCGGACCUGGAGCAGCUCUGCAUGGGACACAAGGCUGGCCCGAGACACCUCACAGCAUUACCCAGCGACCGCUCUCUUCAGAACAAAAUAAAAGGCAAAUAAGAAGGGAAGGGGAGGGCUGGGGAUUUAGCUCAGUGGUUUCGCCGCCUGCUGCACAAGCGCAAGGACCUGAGUUCGAUCCCUGGUACCAAAAAAGAAGGGAAGGGGAUCAAGCGAAGAUCAAGCGAAGGAAGACUGGGGUGGGAAGAGAAGGGAACGGAAGGGACAUAAAAGGAUGUAGGAUGUGUUGUGUGCACGCACCAAUUCCCGACGACGACGAUGAAUGCAAUCGUUAUGCACUGCAAAUGUUUGCUAAUAAAAAUUUAAAAGAAUUAAAAAAUAGGCAGUGAAUGUUUUUCUAUUAAUACCUCACAACGAGUUGUUCCAAUUCACACAAGAAACUUGAUAGUUUUUUUUAUUGUUUUCAUGUCUUUGGUUGUUUUUGAAAUCAGCACCUCCCCUUCCCAGGAUCAGGAUGUUGACAGAAACCUCGGACAGGCUCUUGUGCACUCAUGCCAAGACUUUCUAAAGCACUGGAAAGACUGCUUUGGGAUCAACUAUCAUUUUCCCUCACAGAUUACAAAAACCAUUGGCCUGGUUUCUUGAUCUUGUUUCUUUUCAUAAUGAAUGUGAGAUGUCUGAAAUUUUAUUUUCUUUAUUUGUAAUUGCUUGUUUUAAUACAGAAAACAUAGCGAAAUGUUUCAACAGGCUCAGAAAAGUUCCUGGGGAGUUCCAUCUCCUCUCAAGCUACCCAGCCCACUCGGAAGCAACCACUUACCGGUUCCUGGUGCAGUUUUUAGGUCCAGCACUGUACAGUUUUGAAACAGGGCUUCACUGAGACACAAAGUAGCCCAGUCUGGGCUGGAACUUGAGUCUUUCCUGCUUCAGCCUCCCAGAGCGAGGACUAUAGAGCAACAUUUAAACUUCUGCAUCUGCUACUCAAGCUCAGGAAAAUGGAAUAACUCGAGUUUGAAGACAGAGCCCACAGCCAGCUCGGAAAGCUCCAGUGCAUAAUGGGCCUGACAUCCCACUCCUACGGAGGCUGAACUUAGCGUGUGCUGCGUCCACGCCCACUCACAACACGAGGUCGGUGCGGGAUGCGUCAUUUGAGGAAGUGCUCGUGCUGCUUACGUUCCCACCCGCAGCAGCCGUUAACCGUUCUGUCCACUACACCAGCUGCUGACAGAGGGCUGCUUAAAUUUUAAAUUAAUUAAAAUUAAAUUAAAAGGAAAUUCUGUUUCCAGCCAAGUCAGAGAAAUAGGGACCAGAUGUACCCUCCAGCCUAAAACAAUCAACAAACAAACAAAAUAGGAGGCCUUGGUUUUCAAGACACAGGACCUCAGGCAAGGAGGGCAGCGGUCACCCAGGGCGGGAACUGCGGGCGCUGCUUUACUGCCCUGAGCGUUUACUGGUUGUGGCGCAGGGAGGAGGGGCGUGGGCUGAGCACAGGGAACUCCCAGAGCGGGGUUCAGGGCCAGGAGUCUGCUGGGACUCUUUUCAAAGCCCCUCCAGCCGGGCGUGGGGGUGCACAUCUGCAGUCCUAGCACUCUGGGAGGCUCAGGCAGGAGGAUCGCAAGUUCGAGCCCAAACUGGGCAACUUGGUGAUUUAGUGAGACCUCGUCUCAAAAUAAAAAAUAGAAAGGAGCUCCAGAGGUAGCUCAGUAGGAAUGCCCUGGGUUCAAUCCCCAGUCCCGUGGGGGGCUCCUGAGAGUACUCAGUGAAGUGUUCAUUAGCACUGGUGGAGGAAAUUACUAGAGACGGGGGUGGGGGAGCCCUGGGAGAGUUUAGGGUUACACUGCACAUCCUCAAUCGGGGCUGAGAAGUGUGCUGGUUCUCACUGUUCAAUCUAGAGAACUCGGCACUCAUGGGAGAGAGGAGCGCACACAAGAAUCUGGCCUCAGUAGCAGGGAAUAAUUAGCUCCAGGCUAAGCCCUGUUCCUAUCUUACCUGAGAAAGCUGGAGGGCAGGACCUGAAAGGGUCCAGUGUUUCCAAGCAACUGAACUGCAUCCCAGAACAAAGCUUUGUGUGUUUGCAGGAACAACAACAAAAACACACGGCAUUUGAUAAAGGUAAAAUUCAUAAUACCUGGCAUAAAAUUUUUUAAAAUUCUAAAAAUGUAAGGGAGCUGGAAAAAUGACUCAUAAUAGGGAGAAAAAUCAAUUGAAACAUACCCAGGAUUCCAGCACAGAUUUUAGAACAACCAGGCAGAGACAGUAAAAGUUAUUAUCCCAUAUGUUGAAAGUUAGACACUGGCUUUAUGAAAAAGACCCAAAUUGAACUUUGGGGAUGAAAACUACAAUAUCUGAGGUUACAGUAAUACACUGUGUGCAGCUAACAGCAGAUUGGACUUUGCAGAAGAAAAGAUUGGCAAAUCAACAUAUCAAUAGAAAGUACUCAGAAUAAAAUAGAAAUACUCUGGUCUUGGCAGUGAUUUCUUAAACAUAACAAAAGCAUAGGCAACAAAAGACAAAAUAGACAAGUGGAACUACAUCAAACUAAAACUCUUCUUCACAGCAAAGGAUACAAUCAACAAAGUGAAAGGGAAACAUACAGAAUGGGAGAAACUAUUUGCAAACCACACUUCUAAUAAAGGGUUAAUACCCAAAAUAUAUGGGGAAUUUGAACAAUUCAACCAGAAAAAUGGCUGAUUGAAAAUAUGGGUAAAGGAGUUGAAUAGACAUUUCUCCAAAGGAGACAUAAAAUGGCUAACAGAUACAGUGUGUGAAAAAGUACUCGCCAUUAUCAUCAUCAGGGUGAUGAAAAUCAAAGCCCCACACCAGUUAGGAUGGCUAUUGUCAAAGUAACAAAUCGUCACAAAUGAUGAGACGUACAGAUGAGGACCCUUGUCUACUGUGGAAUGGUACAUUGUGCAGCUACCAUGAGAAGCAGAAUGGAGGCGCCUUUAAACUUGAAAAUAGAACCACUGUAUGACCUACAGCCCCACUUCUGGGCAUAUUUCCAAAGGAAAGGAAACAAGAAUCCUGAAAAUAUAUUCCAUGUUGACUGGAAUUUUAUUCUCCACAGCCAAGACAUGGAAACAACUUAAGUACCCAAUAAUAAUUAAUCAAAUGUGAUACAUACACACAGUGAAAUAUUAUUUGGCCUUAAAAAUAAAUACCGCCAUUUGCAGCAACGUAGAUGAGUCUGAAGGACAUUUAUCUAAGUGAAUUAAGCCAGACACAGAAAGGCAAAUUUUACACGAUACUACUCCUAUUUGAUAUCUAAAAUUGGCAAACUCAUAGGAACAGAAUUGUGGCCACCAAGAAAUAGCAGAGGAAACAGGGAGGUCAGAGGGUGCGACAUCUCAGUUCAGAGCGGUUCCUGGAGCUCUGCUGCACAGCACAGCGCCUUAACAUACACCUGUGCACUUAAAGAUUUGCCAAGAGGGAGGCCUUUUACUGUGUUUUUUUCACAUGCACAUAGACAUAUAUGCACACAGCGAGAGGUAACUUGAGAUAAUGGGAUAUUGUGGCCUAGAUGGUCGCAGUAUUUUCACAGCUGUACAUUUAUCUCCAAACUCAUCAGGUUGUAUGCAUUAAACAUGUACAACGUGUUGUAUGGCAAUCAUAACUCAAUAAAGU